UGCAUAUCCAUUUAGAGCCUAUAUACAAAAUUCUCUAUUUCAUCCCCCCAAGCACCAAACAAGCCAGCACCACCCCCUUACUCACCAUCCUCCUCAUCCUCUUCUCCCGUCCUAGCCGAAGAAUCGACAUUGCGACCCUGGCCGAACUCCUCCCCAUCCUCACUCCCAUAUCCCCCAUUUCCUCCCCCCUUGCCCUUCCUCCACACGGGCACCAUCCGACUUCGGUUCAUGGCUUGCCACUCCAUGAACUCUUUUUGUAGGCCCGCAAGGUGGCGUACACUGGUUAUCCCAGUGUUGGCAGCCCCCGAAGCGAGCCUCGUCUUCUCGAAAGACGAAUUCCAACACCACCCUCCUAUAUUGUUUAAUUGAUGUCAGUCGACGUAGGCCCUCGCACUAAUCCAACUCACCUCUCCUUUUCUCCGAGUUCGCCAAGCUCGAACAUCUCCUUUGCCGCCACCUUCCAAAAGUUCUCAACCUUUGGGGACAAAGGAGAGCCGACUCGGUAAGUCGAAUACCUCUACAAGUAAAAUACAUCAGCUACUGUGAUGUUGCUUAAACGAAAGAAACAUGCCUGGAAGGCGAGGCGCUGUAGAAAGGGCAUGGCCAAGGGGUGGUCAAGGGGGACCCCUUGGCCAUGCAUCGGCCUAGAACGACGAGGUUCCAGCGCUCAUCAAUGCUUUUUGAUAAGCUAUACAAAGCAAUUCGUCAAUAGUCGUAGCAUAUAAAUAAGGUCGCUUACCGCCUGCUUCCUCUCGCUCCUCCAGACCGUCAACUUUCGUGUGACUUCCUUUCGGAAGUCGUGACGGUCAGGGUGCCGAGCAUUGGGCACCCCACCCACUUUGCAGGCGACUGCUGCAUCCUGAGUAGAUGUAGUUAAAUAUCUGGUACGUCACCAAUGGUAAACAAGGUAAACCUACGUGGAUUAUGGAAGCCAGGUUGCUUCCAUAGAAAAGGUCGGAGAAGGGGGUGAUCAAAAAUGCAUUGACCACCCCGCUGGCUAAGUCACUGUAUUUUUGCUGGUAAAUGAACGUCAGAUGACUGAAAGGUUAUGCUGUGUUUGGUUUGAUUAAGUACCGAACUUACAGAGGGCUUCGAGCCCGUUAAAGCAGAUGGCGACUGGGAGGCGAACAGACACUUCAGGAUCGCCAACUCUUUGAGAAUGAACUCUUGAUUACGCUCCAACUGCAGAAACAUUGACAGAUUAUCCCAGCAAGUACAAUAUCAGUAAGGGUUAAUGCAUAGGCUGAGCUGCAGACACAUACCUGGUUCCUGGCUUACGAUGACUUGAGAGUUCACCUACCCUCUGCCCCCAAAAGGCAGAGGGUACUGCUGACAUGGGAGAGCUGUCGAGACUUGAAGCUCUCCUAUGGCGGCGGGAUGGAGUUGAUGGCGUUUGCGAAGGUGUUCUGGAGACGCGGUUGCCUGUCUGCGAACUCUCAGAACUGCUUGUGGGCGGGUUCCGUGAACCCCAAAGUCCUUGAUCCCGAACGGGAUGCGUAAGUAAUUUGGGGAUGCUGAGACUCCCUGAUUCUUGAUGAAGCGCUGGCCAAGCUCAAAAGAGAUGCCAAAUUGUUAGAAGGCAUUAUGAUAAUAUGGAAUAAAUGUAUGGGACAGUGGGGAACAGUGGAC
rnacentral:sRNA from 1 species